CUCACUUUGCCGCAGCGGAGUUCAGCCGAAUACUUCAGCAAACUCACUCUCACACCGAAACUUGAAAAAAUAUUUCAGUGUCCCUUUUUUCGGAAAAAAAUAAACGAAAAAAAUGGCGGCUGAAGGUGGUGGAGGUCCCCCGGCACCAGUGGAGCCGCAAACGGGGCCGGAUGGAGAGAUCAUCGGCGGGCCGCGCACCAUGCAGCAGAUCGCCGCGCAACGUCGCUUGCAGCAAACGCAGGCGCAAGUUGACGAGGUGGUGGAUAUUAUGAAGACUAAUGUCGAGAAGGUGCUCGACAGAGAUGCCAAGUUGUCGGAACUAGAUGAUAGAGCAGAUGCGCUCCAGCACGGUGCCUCGCAAUUCGAGCAACAAGCUAAAAGUCUGAAGAACAAGUUUUGGCUACAAAACUUAAAGAUGAUGAUAAUAAUGGGUGUGAUCGGAAUCGUUAUAAUAGGACUGCUGUUUGGUGAUAACAUUAAACAAAUGUUUGGUUAGUUCGAUACCGUGGCACACCUUCUUUGAGUGGCGUCUCAGCAAUGGUGCCAGUCAAUAACACAACUCUUACACAUUGAAAAUAUAUGUAAUUAUUUCUUCAUCGCAUCCGUUGGGUUCCACUUCAAAUGAGAAGACGGGUAACUAUUACAUUACUAAAUAAUCUGUAAUUCUGAUAUAUAAUGUAAUAUUCGGUAGGGCUAGAACAGUAUAGUAUCAAGGAACAAAUGAUAUGUACACACUGUAUAUUGAAAUAGAUGAAUUAAGCACUACAAUAUGCGUAGACUUACAUUUUAAGUUUAGAACUAAACAUUAUAAAAAAAUAUCUAACUAUUGAUGUUCAACGGCCAAAAUUAAUCAUUUCUUAUAUUCUUGAAAUUACUAAUUAUUACUCAAUUAUGAAUAACGUAUGCUCUUACCCCAAACUUGGUACAUUGUAAGUAAUUCUUAUGUCUUAUAACGAUGUCUAGGUCUUGUAUUAGGGGACACACGUGUAGGUAAGACAGGAGUCCCUGCUUUAUUAUUGGAGACAAAUAGAGAGAAAAAUGACAAGCUCAGCUGUGUCGAAAAUUUGUUUGCGUGCCUUUAUUAGAUACUAUAUACUUAACCAAAAUUCUUAUAAUCUUUUGAGGAAUUCUUGAUGUAAUGAUCUACUUAAUGGUACGUUUACUUUCAUCAUGAUAUUUCGAAGGUGUUGUGAACUAACUGCGUACAUUUAUAACUUUAAUAUUAAAAUUCGGCCUAUAAACCUAUAUGUGAUUAUGCUCAUUUUGUGUAAAGAACGAAAAUCGACUAUAGUCAACGAGAUCUUCCAAAUGUAGUGGAAUCUAUCCGAUAUUGUAUUUAUUAUAGAAUUACACGUAGGUAGUGUUAUCGGCGACACGACUAAUUUCUUUCUGUUUUCUUGAUGGCUACUACCCCUCUUAUAUUAUUUUUUUCUAAUUCAUCUAUUAAUUGUAUCGGUGACACUAAAGCCUCGUCCCCAAUGGGCGACGUUUGUCAAGCGUCAUGUGUCCCCGAAAAGAUCGUGCGGUAUCGGAUGAAGUUGCCUUAAUUUCGCCAGACGACUACUUCUCUCUCCAACUAAAUGUCUGGCGACGGCUGGCGGCGUCCCCCGAUAUCCGGGGCAACGCUUAAUUAAUAAAACACAGCAAUAGUAGAUAAUCAAGGAAUUGAAAGUAGAAAUAAGUUUACAUUAUUUAUAAUAAUAGUAUGAUGAAUGUUAAAAUAUAAGUUAUAUGCAUUUAUUUGACAAAUAUUGAUGUUUUUUAACACGCGUAUUGUAAUUACUUUUUAGGAGUUAAAUAUUGCUAAUAGGUAUAAAAGUUCGUACUUAUAAAUAAUUUCUAGCUACAUUUUUCGAUUCAUAGCGUCUUGAAUGUCAAUUAUUUGCAAUUUAGUCUUAAACGGAUAUUAAUUGGAUUUAGUGCACGAUGAAAGUUAUUGUAGAUAAGUUGCUUGGAAAUCGAAGUUACGUAGUUGAGAUGUUUUGUGUUAUUAUCACGAGAUCUGCAGCGCCACAAAUUGUAACUCAGCACAAAGUAAAUGAGUUAAAUACUUACUUACUUAGUUAUUUUAAGUUAUUCAACGAGAAGGUUCCUAGAGUCUGUCUUGAAAGUCAGGUAAUUGGUGCGCAUUAGGAUAGGGAUUCAGUUUUAAGGAUAUGCCAAAGUGAUUCUAUAAAAAAGUAGAGAAGGAACUGUCCAAGUUCCCUGAAAUUUUUAAGACAGGGUCUAUGAUUAAAAUUUCGACGGCGGGAUUGAGUCGCAAUAGUUCAAGUAGACUCACACAGAACUCCGUUUUACAGGUCUGUUAUAUCGAAUACGAUUUGAUUAUGAUGAGCGUGUCCACACACCAGACAGUAUUUUGGGUUCCAAAAAAUUAUAUAAAAAUGUUCUUAUUUGAUAAAAUGGACCUGUAAAACAGAUCGCUGUGUUAAAAAGCACUAAGCUGGUUGGUUGGCUGGUUCAUCCAUAAGGAAACAUUUACGAUAGCAAAUAUUUUAGCUUGCGACGUUCCGUAUAACUUUACUUCAAGUACUUAAUAAUAAAAGAAUGUGGGGUUUGUCAGUUUUUAAAUUUAAAGGGCGAUAGAGGAAAUGUGCGUACUUACACAUUUUAUGAAUAUUUUAUUAUUUCUUGUUUUUUAUGUCUGUAAGUAAACAACUGCACAAUUUUUAUUCGAAUUUAGUAGAAAAAGGUUUUGCAAUGAGUUUGCUAAAAAAUAAUAACCGCUCAAUUUAAUUGAUUUACUUAGUACUUCAAUUUUAAGUGAUCAGUUUUUGUCUUAUAAAGGAUAAUUAAUUUAUAAAAUUUGUGAGUACUGAUAAGUGAAAAUAUAUGGUGCCAUUGACAAUAUUAGUUCUUUUAUAAUAACUGUGAAAAUAUUUGGUGUGAUAAUCGAAGUGAGAUUUGAAAUUAAAAAUUCUAGUGUUGUAUUCUUUUUUUUACUACGUAGUCCAUUAUUUGCUAGCUUUUGUCAAAAUUUGAACGUAGAUAGUAUCAAAAAUAUACAUUUACGCAUAUUGGAUUGUAAACAGAAUCGAAAAGAAAGACGCGCGUAGGGCGUGGUGAGAAACAAAUAGUACGUGAUUUUUCCAUCUGAAACAAUUAAAUACAACACCGCACAAAGAAAUAUACGUCUUAUUACGGUUAGUUAUAAUUUAAUUUAUUGGCCCCAAUCUAAAUUGUUAAUACGUAAAUAUUUGGUGGUAAAUUAUUACUGUAAAUUCAGUGUCAAUCAGCAAUAAAUUUGUCUAUAUUAUUUAUAAAUUAAUUGAAUAGAUGUUACAUAAUUUAAACAGAUACUUAUGAAUAUUAAUAAUGUAGCAAGUAUUAAAAAUAUUGAAAUAUUCUGUAGGUACUUCACUCUACCUACUUAAUACUAUAUAAUAUGUUCAUGUUGUGUAUUCUGUGACUUAUUUGGUUUACUGCACUUUUCAAUGUAAUUAUAAUAAAUAAUUAUCAAUUUGGCAUGUUGUAAUUUAUACCUAUUACAUAAUAUUGAAUAUAAUUCAUUAAUGUUGUAAUUAUUUGGAAAACAAUCGAAUGUAAAGGUGUUAUUGAUUAUAAAAAAUGUGAUUAAAAUAUACAAACUUA
rnacentral:misc_RNA from 1 species